GGAUCCUUAGCUCAGCUGGUUUAGAGCACCUGCCUUACAAGCAGGGGGUCGAUGGUUCGAAUCCAUCAGGGUCCA
rnacentral:tRNA from 1 species